rnacentral:lncRNA from 7 species
GGUGACCAUGAGGUGACCCAAUGAUGCCACCACCCAUGGAGGUGACCCCAUGAUGGGACAUUCGCCCUUGGGGGACAUCCCUUGGGGACAUCAACCCAUGGAGGUGACCCCAAUGAUGCAUCGACCCAUGGAGGUGACCCCAAUGAUGCCACCAACCCUUGGGAUCAACCCAUGGAGGUGACCCCAGUGAUGGCAUCGGCCCAUGGGGACAUCCCUUGGGGACAUCAACCCAUGGAGGUGACCCCAAUGAUGCCACCAACCCAUGGAGGUGACCCCAAUGAUGCCACCAACCCUUGGGGACAUCAACCCAUGGAGGUGACCCCAAUGAUGCCACCAACCCAUGGAGGUGACCCCAAUGAUGCCACCAACCCUUGGGGACAUCAACCCAUAGAGGUGACCCCAAUGAUGGGCACCGACCCAUUGGAGGUGACCCCAUAUGAUGGGACAUCAACCCAUAGAGGUGACCCCCCAAUGAUGGCCAUGUGACCCAUAGGAGGAUGACCCCAAUCAUGAUAUCGACCCAUAGAGAUGACCCCAAUGAUGGCAUCGACCCAUGGAGGUGACCCCAAUGAUGGCAUCGACCCAUAGAGAUGACCCCAAUGAUGCCACCAACCCAUGGAGGAUGACCCCAAUGGAUGCCAUCCAAACCCAUGGGGGGACAUCCCUUGGGACAUCAACCCAUGGAGGUGACCCCCAUAUGAUGCCAUUCAAACCCUUGGGGGACAUUUCAACCCCAUGGAGGUGACCCCAAUGAUGGCAUCGACCCAUGGAGGUGACCCAAUGUAAUGACCCCACCCCAACCCAUAGGGGAACCCAAUUGGGGAUGACCCAUGGGGUGACCCCAAUGAUGCCACCAACCCUUGGGGACAUCAACCCAUAGAGGUGACCCCAAUGAUGGCACCGACCCAUGGAGGUGACCCCAAUGAUGGGCAAUCGAACCCAUAGAGUGACCCAAUGAUGGCAUGAAAACCCAUGGAGGUGACCCCAAUGAUGGCAUCGACCCAU